AAAGACCCCAUGGAGCUUUACUGCAGCUUGAUAUUGAAUUUGGGUACGAUCUGUACAGGAUAGGUGGGAGCCGUAGAACUUUGAGCGCCAGCUUGAAGGGAGGCAUCCUUGGGAUACCACCCUGAUCGUAUCUAGGUUCUAACUUGGUACCGUGAUCCGGUACGAGGACAGUGUCAGGUGGGCAGUUUGACUGGGGCGGUCGCCUCCUAAAGAGUAACGGAGGCGCCCCAAGG
rnacentral:rRNA from 1 species